rnacentral:tRNA from 1 species
GGGGCCAUAGCUCAGCUGGGAGAGCGCCUGCUUUGCANGCAGGAGGUCGGCGGUUCGAUCCCGCCUGGCUCCACCA